rnacentral:rRNA from 1 species
UGGGGAAUAUUGGACAAUGGGCGCAAGCCUGAUCCAGCAAUGCCGCGUGCGUGAAGAAGGCCUUCGGGUUGUAAAGCACUUUUAUCUGGAGCGAAAUCUGCAGGGCUAAUACCCAUGCAGUCUGACGGUACCAGAGGAAUAAGCACCGGCUAACUUCGUGCCAGCAGCCGCGGUAAUACGAAGGGUGCAAGCGUUACCCGGAGUUACUGGGCGUAAAGCGUGAGUAGGUGGUUACUUAAGUCUGCUGUGAAAGCCCCGGGCUCAACCUGGGAAUUGCAGUGGAUACUGGAUAGCUAGAGUAAGGUAGAGGGUAGUGGAAUUCCCGGUGUAGCAGUGAAAUGCGUAGAGAUCGUGAGGAACACCAGUGGCGAAGGCGGCUAGCUGGACCGGCAGUGACACUGAGUCACGAAAGCGUGAGGCGCAAAC